GACGAACGCUGGCGGCGUGCUUAACACAUGCAAGUCGAACGGAAAGGCCCUGCUUUUGUGGGGUGCUCGAGUGGCGAACGGGUGAGUAACACGUGAGUAACCUGCCCUUGACUUUGGGAUAACUUCAGGAAACUGGGGCUAAUACCGGAUAGGAGCUCCUGCUGCAUGGUGGGGGUUGGAAAGUUUCGGCGGUUGGGGAUGGACUCGCGGCUUAUCAGCUUGUUGGUGGGGUAGUGGCUUACCAAGGCUUUGACGGGUAGCCGGCCUGAGAGGGUGACCGGCCACAUUGGGACUGAGAUACGGCCCAGACUCGUACGGGAGGCAGCAGUGGGGAAUAUUGCACAAUGGGAGGAAGCCUGAUGCAGCAACGCCGCGUGCGGGAUGACGGCCUUCGGGUUGUGAACCGCUUUCGCCUGUGACGAAGCGGGAGUGACGGUAAUGGGUAAAGAAGCACCGGCUAACUACGUG
rnacentral:rRNA from 1 species